rnacentral:misc_RNA from 1 species
GUGGGAAGGGGGUUGCUCCCGAUGGUGGUAAUUCAGUCGGUUAAUUUCUGACUGAUACACCGCCAUCGGGAGCAAUCCCCUUCCCAC